rnacentral:rRNA from 1 species
CUACGGGGCGCAGCAGUGGGGAAUAUUGCACAAUGGGCGCAAGCCUGAUGCAGCCAUGCCGCGUGUAUGAAGAAGGCCUUCGGGUUGUAAAGUACUUUCAGCGGGGAGGAAGGAAGUAAAGUUAAUACCUUUGCUCAUUGACGUUACCCGCAGAAGAAGCACCGGCUAACUCCGUGCCAGCAGCCGCGGUAAUACGGAGGGGUGCAAGCGUUAAUCGGAAUUACUGGGCGUAAAGCGCACGCAGGCGGUUUGUUAAGUCAGAUGUGAAAUCCCCGGGCUCAACCUGGGAACUGCAUCUGAUACUGGCAAGCUUGAGUCUCGUAGAGGGGGGUAGAAUUCCAGGUGUAGCGGUGAAAUGCGUAGAGAUCUGGAGGAAUACCGGUGGCGAAGGCGGCCCCCUGGACGAAGACUGACGCUCAGGUGCGAAAGCGUGGGGAGCAAACAGGAUUAGAUACCCUCGUAGUC